AAACACCUUGAUCUUCUUGGGGUCAAUGAACUUGAGUGGCGCACCAGUCCAGAACAGUCCCAGGGGUGCCAAUGACAAUGUGCUCACUGAUCUUCUGACCUCUUUCCACUGUGGAGACAAGAUGUUUUCUGUACUGGGAAUCCUGCACAGGCUCUUUUGAUCAAUUAUGUAAAAGCAGAUAAAGUGUUUUCAAGACCGUAAACCCUGUAGUCUAACAAAAGGGCUUACCUAAUAAGAAAUGUUCCUGACAUCCAGAAA